rnacentral:rRNA from 1 species
UACGUAGGGUCCGAGCGUUGUCCGGAAUUACUGGGCGUAAAGAGCUCGUAGGCGGUUUGUUGCGUCGGCUGUGAAAUCCCGAGGCUCAACCUCGGGUCUGCAGUCGAUACGAGCAAACUAGAGUGUUGCAGGGGAGACUGGAAAUUCCUGGUGUAGCGGUGAAAUGCGCAGAUAUCAGGAAGAACACCCGUGGCUAAGGCGGUUCUCUAGUACGGUACUGACGCUGAGACGCGAAAGCGUGGGGAGCGAACAGG